GUCUCUUUGAUUAUGUGAAUAUAAAGAGUUGUGCCUGCUCGGUGAAUUGUUUUUAACAGCUGCGGUAUUAUAACUGUACUAAGGUAGCAUAAUAACUUGCCUUAUAAAUUGGGGCUAGAAUGAAUGGUUUGACGAAAGUUAUGCUGUCUCUAUCUUAAUUAGUUGAAUUUAAUUUUUAAAGUGAGAAAGCUUAAAUGAUUUAAAGGGACGAGAAGACCCUAUUAGCGUUUAAAUAUUAAUUUAAAUAGAAAUAGUUAUUUAAGCUUAAUAAUUUUGAUUGGGGUAAUCAAGGAGUGAAUAGUUUAUAUCUUCCUUAAAUAAUUGUUAAUAUUAUGAUAAUAUAAAUAAAUAAAUAAACCGAUUUUUUUUGCUUUUAAGAUAAGUUACCAUAGGGAUAACAGCGUAAUUUUUUUUGAGAGUUCAUAUUAAAAAAAGAGAUUGCGACCUCGAUGUUGGAUUAAAAUUACCUUAAGGUGGAGAAGCUUUAUUUGGUGAAUCUGUUCGAUUUUUAAAAUUUUAC
rnacentral:rRNA from 1 species